rnacentral:tRNA from 1 species
UUCAAGAUAGCUCAGGGGCAGAGCAUGCGCUUUGCAUGCAGAAGAUCCCAGGUUCGAUCCCUGGCAUCUCUCGUGGAAA